GAUGAACGCUGGCGGCGUGCCUAACACAUGCAAGUCGAACGCUGAAACGGGGUGCUUGCACUGGGUGGAUGAGUGGCGGACGGGUGAGGAAUACGUGAGUAACCUGCCGUGGACGCUGGGAUAAGCAUGGGAAACUGGGUCUAAUACUGGAUAUGAGAUGGAACGGCAUGGUGCUUUGGGGAAAGGGUUUUAGUGGUUGUAGAUGGGCGGUCGGCCAAUCAGCUUGGUGGAGGGGUACUGGCCUACCAAGGCGACGCCGGGUAGCCGGCCUGAGAGGGGGAACAGCGACACUGGGACUGAGACACGGCCCAGUCUCCUACGGGAGGCAGCGGUGGGGAAUCUUGCACAAUGGGCGGAAGCCUGAUGCGGCGACGCCGCGUGAGGGAUGACGGCCUUCGGGUUGUAAACCUCUUUCAGCACGGAAGAAGCGGGAGUGACGGUACGUGCAGAAGAAGCGCCGGCUAACUACGUG
rnacentral:rRNA from 1 species